UACAGAGGGUGCAAGCGUUAAUCGGAAUUACUGGGCGUAAAGCGCGCGUAGGUGGUUUGUUAAGUUGGAUGUGAAAUCCCCGGGCUCAACCUGGGAACUGCAUUCAAAACUGACUGACUAGAGUAUGGUAGAGGGUGGUGGAAUUUCCUGUGUAGCGGUGAAAUGCGUAGAUAUAGGAAGGAACACCAGUGGCGAAGGCGACCACCUGGACUAAUACUGACACUGAGGUGCGAAAGCGUGGGGAGCAAACAGGAUUAGAACCCUGGUAGUCC
rnacentral:rRNA from 1 species